AGGGGCGCAAACGCGGACUAUAGCCUGUCGUUUCUAAGGGCUCAAGAAGGGACCCGGCUUUUUUUUUUUUUUUUUUUUUUUUUUUUUUUUUUUUUUUUACUGUCCCGAUUCCCAGUCUCUCUAACACUGCCUAAAGCAAGGGUGGGAGAUUGUAAUUUGCUCCUUUGUACGGUAGCAGUUUUUUAGAUUGGUUUACCAACUAAAGGAGAGAAUGGAUAGUAAAAUAUUUUUCUUUUUAGUUAACUUAAAAUCAAAACUGUUUAAAUCCGCAGAGUUUCUUCAGGCGGAAAGGCAAGUAAAGCCUGACCCAUCCAGUUUACCAUUUUCCUAAAGCACUGGAUUUGGCCCCGGGGAAAACUUCCACUCCCCGGGGUGGGGAGGAGUGGCACAUUUUCAAAGCCACCCCCUAGGGGUUCCCAGGUCCCGCGCUGUGAGUUUCCUUUGAGUACCCCAGUUGAUUUUGGAAGGCGGGCAUCAUAGGGAACGCGGAGGAAAGAAGUGUACCCUAAACUAGGGAGGAACCCAAGAACUGGAGAAGUCCCCUCAUAGUUCACCAGUAAAUAGACAGGCUCUUAACAGUUCUAUUUUCUUCGUGGUUCUUUUUUCUUUUUCCUUUCCUUUCCUUUUCUUUCUCCUUUUUCUUUUGCCUAUCUCCUUUGGGGGUGGAGGGAUUGCUAAUCUUAACGAAAUUCUUUCUCUCCCGACUAUUUACACUCAAGGAGUGGUCCCUCCGCAGUGUGCCUUCCGUCCUCGAGCCCACCUCCUCGUCCUCGGAGAGUUGCUGGCUCUGGGGCGCGACCUGUCCCCAGGGCUGAUUUAUUUGGGGCGCGCCGCCACACUACUAUUCGCGAUUCGAAUCCAGCCAGAAUAGAGCAGCCAAUUGGGCAGGGGGCGGAGGCUUUGUUGCUAAAUGCGAAGGGAUGUUUGGGGACCCAGCCACGCUCUGUUUCCAGAGGAGCUGUGACACGCGGGCGGGAGCCCGCAUAACGACACGCCUUGACCCCUGCAAACUUAAGCUCAUUACGCCGUCAGUUCCCCAAAGCUCCAGGCUGCUCCAGCGACACUUGAGAAUUUGUGACUUAAAACUUAAGUUUUAAACUUGAGUUUUUACAAAGCCACAUCUCUAGGGCCUUUUCGCCUAUACCGGAUUUCUUACCGUCCCUGGGACGCUUUUGCCGAAGGACAGGGGUCACCCUGGUGUCCCCCCACCCCAGCCAUCCUCCGCGCCCAAUAGUCGUGGGGCGGCCUGUUCUCGGACUCAGCCGCUGUCAGUCCAGUGCAGGCGCUUGCGGAAAGUCCUGACGGUGUUUGGGGUGGAGGGCGGCGGGUGGUUUUGUUUUGUUUUAAUUCUUGAAAGCCCAAAAAUAUACGUUAGAAAUAUCAGAUCGUGGCAGGGGUUGGGGGGGGGGCACGAAAACUGCGCAGCCUAGAAAAUUGGGUCGCCCCCCGCCCCCAGCACUCCCCGUCCCCCGCCCCCUUUUCCCGCCGCCGGUCACUUCGGGUAAGGAACUCGCCGAGCCCGGGCGGUCGGCAUAGCGUCCCGGCGCGCGGCGGCUGCAGGCCGGGCCCGGCCGCCCCCGGCCCCGCAGUCCCGGGCCGCCCCCAGCCAGCGGCCGCCAGCACGGCGCGGAGGUGGGCUCGCGGCGGCGGCGCGCGAGAGGUCAUCGCGGUGGCAUUCCUCCCUGCGCGCUGUUUACGUGAUUUAAUGUAUUUCAUACGCCGCGGCCUGUUAUCUAGGCCACCCAUGACCGACGAAAGAUCUUCCCUCCCGGCUUCUCCCACGGCCGCUUUAAACCAAAUAAAUUUAGCUAUUAAGGGCCAAGAUGUCUGACAAAAGAUCGAAAGGUGUCUAUCCGUGAUCGCUUAAAGCAGCGAAGGAGAAACUUGUGGCUCUCUGAUCCCGAUAAAGACAUUCCACACGGCGCCGGCCUCCCUCCCCACGGCCUGGUUGCGUCCUGACGCCUUGAGAUCUCCGCUUCGCUGGCCAGAUCUCCCCGGGCGCGGCGAGACCUGCGUCCGUCGCCCUGGGAAUGCGGAGGUCCCCAGGCGGCCGGGCUUGGGGGUGCCAGGCCCCACGGUCCCGGGAACUGUGGAAAUUCAGGCCUGACCCGGCUGGGCUCCGAAAACAGACCCCCUGCACUUGGCAGAAAAACUAAACCGAGCUCAUUAGGACCUGAAUUACUAUCCCUUUUGAUUAUUUUCUGAAGCUGAAUACUACUGUAGGCCAUCCACCCCUGCCUUCCCACCCUCACUCCCUGCGGGUUUGCCUAGGGUCCGAGUUACUUCACAUGACUGGCCGUUGGGAGCAGAACUCCCUUUGAACCCCGGUCAGAACCUGGUGGGUGGAACUGGGCAGCUAAAUUAGACUGAGGCUAAUGGGGAGGGUGUGGACUCCCAGAGUAAGAGCGUGCAGGUGGGAGGCAGAGGUCCGGCCUUUCAAUCAUCCCCAGGUUGGGUCUGGUUAUGAAGUGUGGUAUUUAUUAUCAUUAUUAAUUACUACUGGCAUCACUACACAAAGCUGAGGGCUGCCAGCUUGGCUGAGGCCCUGCCCCUGCCGGGAUCCCUUCCCUUUCACUAAAGGUGAAGUAGGGAAUAUCCACUUUCCUGAUCCAGGACUGGAAAGUGGUCUUGGGGAGCCAGGGGCUAUGUUUUGGGAGUUUGUGCACUGAAUCAUUUCUUUUCCUCUUUGGUAGCAUUCCCCUAUAACUCUAAACACACAUGGAAGCCUUUCCUACCUCUUUGUAGUAUGUGUGGGUAAGAACCUCAGGGUGGUAGAUCAGAGACUGCACUGACUUCCCUGCCCGGGAGAUUCUCCCCAUAUCUUCUGCCAUCCCCUUGUGCUCUAUGGUGAAGUUGGAGACAGGGGUCAGAAUUCCGAAGGCAAACCAACUUCCUCAGUUUCUGUCACCUCGGUCUGGGCCCCGGAAGUGAAAUCUGCCUCUCUUUUCUCAUUGCCCUCCUCCAAAUAAGGUGAACUCCAAAACCAGCUGUCUUAUCUAAUCCUUCCACCGCCACCCCCACCCCAGCCUCCUGGGAUAGGAAAACUCAGAACAUCGGAAGGAGAAAGACCAUUUCUACUCCCCAAAAGGGGAACGAGAUACAGAAAUUUUCAACACACUAGACAGACAGGCCCCAGGCUUACCUUGGAGUUUGCUGGUAUCACUAGGUGGGCAGACAAUGCCAAUUCCAGGAUCAGAGUCCAGAUGCCACUGCCCCAGAGCUGUCUCUGCUCAGAGACCUGUUUUUUUCUUUUCUUAGGGGGUUGAGGUGGGGGGCAUUGGUUAGGUGUUGCUAAGGAGAAGCGGAAAAGGAGAUAAGUUUUUGGACGUUUGCCUCAAGUCAGUUAAAGGGGGGAGUGCCCCCAAAUAAAAAAAUAACUGCAUUUGCCCCCAGAACUAUGAUCUCUGCACUCAGUUAUGUUACAGAUAUGCAGAGAAUCAGGACCAAGAGUUGUGUACCCAUAUACAGCCCUCCAGUUUCCUGCACUUGCUCCACAGCACUGCAUGUACACUGCCCAAAGAAGAACUAGAAGGGUUAGCAACUAGUUUUGAAGUGUUUACAGUCUAGAAGUUUGGCACUUCUGUAGAGCCUCAAAGAUGGAGGAAGAUGCUUGAUCCUUUCUCUAAAAAAGUACCCAGCCUCAUGUUGUGUUGUCGGCUUCACAGUGAGUUUGUGAAGAUGGGAGUCACUCUGACUCACAGACUGAGGCAACUGAGAUAGGUUUCAAACCUGACUCCGCCACAUUCUGUAUGACCAGGACAAAUUCCCUAACUUCUCUCUGCCUUAGUUUUCCCAUCUGUAACAUGGGGAUGAUAAAAGUACCUGCCUUACAGGAUUGUUAGGGGAUUAAAAGAUUACUAGUAUCUAUACUGUAUUAGACUCCUGUACUACACCAUUUUUCAAUUUGUUGUGUGUCUCAACUGUUCCCCGGAGCUGGUUCAUUUCCAGGGAAGAACUGCUUUGAGCACACUUUAAGUCCUGCCAUUCAUUAAAGGUCUCAGGCAUUCUCUAUGUACCAGCAGUGAGGAUUUUAUUUAUUGCAUUAUAGUAGAAAGGGGUGGGGUGAGACAAACAGAGAUCCUUUACUUGGCUUUUGGUUCCUUUGAAGAAGAAACAUUCCUUGUCGUUCCCUUUUGCAAAUGCCAGCAGCAGACUCGAACAUCCUCUUUCCUGGAAAUUAAUUAGCUCCGGGGAACAGUUGGGUCACACAAGAAAUUGAAAUCUGCUGGAGUACACGCGAGUCUAUUACAAUAUAGAUAGUAGGGCGCCUGGGUGGCUCAGUGGGUUAGGCCACUGCCUUCGGCUCGGGUCAUGGUCUCAGGGUCCUGGGAUCGAGUCCCGCAUCGGGCUCUCUGCUCAGCGGGGAGCCUGCUUCCUCCUCUCUCUCUGCCUGCCUCUCUGCCUACUUGUAAUCUCUCUCUGUCAAAUAAAUAAAUAAGAUCUUUAAGAAAAAAAAAAACAAUAUAGAUAGUAAUCUUAACAAAGAUAGUAAUCUUGAGGCUCAUCCUUAAGAAAAGUAUCCCAGUCCUCAGCAGCACCCCUCCCUGAGAACAACUUCUGGCAACAGCAGUGAGUUAACAGAUGGGACCAUGAAGGAGAGCAACCUGUGGGCUGGCAUUAGAUAAAAGGGAGGGCGGGGGCUCAUUAAAUGGACCUGCUCAUCUGAUAAUACUUCUAUACUCUUCCCAUGCUCUGUACCUUUCAGUUUGAUACUGCUGUAUAUGCAGGAAACUUGAACAUCCCAUUUUGUUAAGAAAUAGAAAAAUAAAGAUCACUUAGAAGUUACGGAA